rnacentral:rRNA from 1 species
AUACGUAGGUGACAAGCGUUAUCCGGAUUUACUGGGCGUAAAGGGCGUGUAGGCGGUCUUGCAAGUCAGAAGUGAAAUUCCUGAGCUCAACUCGGGCGCUGCUUCUGAAACUGCAGGACUUGAGUGCUGGAGGGGAUAGCGGAAUUCCUAGUGGAGCGGUAAAAUGCGCAGAUAUUAGGAAGAACACCGGUGGCGAAGGCGGCUAUCUGUACAGUAACUGACGCUGAUGCUCGAAAGCGUGGGGAGCAAACAGGAUUAGAUACCCUGUUAGUCCACGCCGUAAACGAUGAAUACUAGGUGUAGGGGGUAUCGACGCCCUCUGUGCCGCAGUUAACACAAUAAGUAUUCCGCCUGGGGAGUACGGCCGCAAGGUUGAAACUCAAAGGAAUUGACGGGG